rnacentral:rRNA from 1 species
GAUGAACGCUGGCGGCGUGCCUAAUACAUGCAAGUCGAGCGAACGGACGAGAAGCUUGCUUCUCUGAUGUUAGCGGCGGACGGGUGAGUAACACGUGGAUAACCUACCUAUAAGACUGGGAUAACUUCGGGAAACCGUAGCUAAUACCGGAUAAUAUUUUGAACCGCAUGGUUCAAAAGUGAAAGACGGUCUUGCUGUCACUUAUAGAUGGAUCCGCGCUGCAUUAGCUAGUUGGUAAGGUAACGGCUUACCAAGGCAACGAUGCAUAGCCGACCUGAGAGGGUGAUCGGCCACACUGGAACUGAGACACGGUCCAGACUCCUACGGGAGGCAGCAGUAGGGAAUCUUCCGCAAAGGGCGAAAGCCUGACGGAGCAACGCCGCGUGAGUGAUGAAGGUCUUCGGAUCGUAAAACUCUGUUAUUAGGGAAGAACAUAUGUGUAAGUAACUGUGCACAUCUUGACGGUACCCAAUCAGAAAGCCACGGCUAACUACGUG